rnacentral:rRNA from 1 species
GGGACAUUUGCAUGUCUAAGUACAAGACUCACUAAGUUGAAACCGCGAAUGGCUCAUUAAAUCACACCUAAUCUACUGGAUAGUUAACAGUUACUUGGAUAACUGCGGUAAUUCUGGAGCUAAUACAUGCAACAAGCCUCGAACUUACGUGAGAGGCGCUUUUAUUAGAUCAAAACCAAACGUUUUCGGACGUAUUUUUGGUGACUCUGGAUAACUUUGAGCUGAUCGCAUUAGCCUUGCGCUGGCGACAUAUCCUUCGAAGGUGUGCCCUAUCAACUGUCGACUGUGGCAUAGACGCCCACAGUGGUUUUGACGGGUAACGGGGAAUCAGGGUUCGAUUCCGGAGAGGGAGCCUUAAAAACGGCUACCACAUCUAAGGAAGGCAGCAGGCACGCAAAUUACCCAAUGACCGCAGGUCGAGGUAGUGACGAAAAAUAACGAUACGGGACUCAUCCGAGGCCCCGUAAUCGGAAUGAGUACACUUUAAAACCGUCCCCGAGGAUCUAUUGGAGGGCAAGUCUGGUGCCAGCAGCCGCGGUAAUUCCAGCUCCAAUAGCGUAUAUUAAAGUUGUUGUGGUUAAAAAGCUCGUAGUUGGAUCUCCACAGGCUUGAGCCGGUAUGCUUGCUAGCAUUACUGGCUUAUAGCCUGUAGUUUUGCCAGAGGUGUUAGGGUGCUCUUAAUCGAGUGUCCUAUCGCACUGGCAGGUUUACUUUGAAAAAAUUAAGUGCUCAAAGCAGGCUUUAUGCUUGAAUAUUCGUGCAUGGAAUAUAGAAUAGGAAGUCGUUUCUAUUUUGUUGGUUUUUAAGUUUCGACUUAAUGAUUAAUAGGGACAAACGGGGGCAUUUAUCGACGAGAGGUGAAUCUGCGUCGAAAUACUGAUUUCUCCAAAAGGGUUGACCUGCG